rnacentral:rRNA from 1 species
UACGGUAGGGGGCAAGCGUUGUCCGGAUUUAUUGGGCGUAAAGAGCGUGUAGGCGGCCAGACAGUCCGUUGUGAAAACUCGAGGCUCAACCUCGAGACGCCGAUGGAAACCGUCUGGCUAGAGUCCGGAAGAGGAGAGUGGAAUUCCUGGUGUAGCGGUGAAAUGCGCAGAUAUCUGGAAGAACACCAAAGGCGAAGGCAGUGUCCUGGGUGGUCGCUGACGCUGAGGAGCGAAAGCAUGGGGAGCGAACAGG